CACACACGGCUCAGUUGGUAGAAUGCUUGCUUGCAUGCACAAGGCCCUGGGUUCAAUCCCCAGCACUGUGGGG
rnacentral:tRNA from 1 species